rnacentral:lncRNA from 1 species
UGGAGAUGCUCUGAGAAAUACUUUGACGGAAUAUAUUUUUUGAAUAAAUUGCAAAAGCUUUCGAGCACAAUUACUUUUUGUCAAAGAAAUGCUUGUUACUUCCGCGAGAAGAUUCAACUUAAAAAUCCAUAGCAUCUUGAUAAUGAUAACUGGCCCAAAUGGCUAUAAAUACUAUGGAUAUUGCCUUGUCUUCAACACUGCCCUCACUUGAGCUACUUUUCCAAUACACAAAUCCUCUCUUAUCCAAUUCUUCACUUGAAUCUACAGAGAUGGCGAGCUCUUCAUCAUUUAGCAUGAGAAGCCAGCAACCAAACUAUGGUCCUCCUCCGAAGAGGGGCCAGAUCAAAGCUCAGAUUUUCGAAAGCGUGGCGGAAACCUUUGUUUCCAUGGCCUUGAAAGCAGGGGAAUCACUCAUCAAAACCAAACAGAGCUCUGCUAGUUUUGCUGAUCAAGUUCCAAAGGCUAGUGACUGAAUCACUGUCUUGCUAAUUGCAUGACCAAAAUGACUCUGGCUAUACAUGUUUAGCAUUCCUGUAAUCCUGUGUGAUUGUAAUUUGUAAUUGUAAUACACUAAUACUGUAGUACUAGACUCUUGUUAAGCUACUGUCAGGAAUCUCGAGAUAUUAGGAGUUGGGCGCUUGAUUUGUAUUUUUGUGUUUCGAAGAUCUCGAAGAGUAUUGGGUUUUACUGUUGAGUUGUAAUAUCAUGUAAUGUUGCAGAUUCUCGUGAUAUCAUAGACUCUCAGUUGCAUGUUAUGCCUCUCAGAGGUGUUAUUUUGAAAUUUUUACUUGGAUUUGAGCUUUAGAAAAAGAUAAAUUAUGAGGAACCCUUUAUAGAACUCCCUUUGCCUGAGUAAAAAUUCAAUUUAUGGUCCAGAAACUUGCUGGCUGUAUAGCUUGUUUGUCACCGCUACUUUUGCUAAUACUCGUAUCCCGUAGAAUCAUUUAAA